GGGCCCAUAGCUCAGUUGGUUAGAGCAGUCGACUCAUAAUCGAUCGGUCCCAGGUUCGAGUCCUGGUGGGCCCACCU
rnacentral:tRNA from 1 species